rnacentral:lncRNA from 1 species
GCCAUUUGAGUACAUGAUCCUGGCCACCAUCAUUGCCAACUGCAUCGUCUUGGCCCUGGAGCAGCAUCUUCCUGAGGAUGACAAGACCCCAAUGUCUCGAAGACUGGAGAAGACAGAACCAUAUUUCAUUGGGAUCUUCUGCUUUGAAGCUGGGAUCAAAAUUGUGGCUCUAGGGUUCAUCUUCCAUAAGGGUUCAUACCUCCGUAAUGGCUGGAAUGUCAUGGACUUCAUCGUGGUCCUUAGUGGGUGAGUCUUGCUUCUUGCUUCCUUCCUUCUUGCUGUGUGUGUGUGUGUGUGUGUGUGUGUGUGUGUGUGUGUGUGUGUGUGUAUGUGUAUGUGUGUGUGUGUGUGUGUGUGUGUGUGUGUGUGUGUGUGUGUGUGUGUGUGUUGGGAGGCUCAUGGUGACAUGAGGUAGCUGGUACAAGGAACACACAGAGGACAGAGAUCAGAAUGUACAGUAGAAACCAAAGAAAAAGAUCAAGGCUGAGAGUCUCCAUAGAGCUAGACCAUAAAGAAACCAUUCUUGGAAGAGUUGGGUGUAUGUUGCAUUAGAUAGAGUCAUGGACUCUCAGGGGUGCCUGGUGUCCCAUUGUAUACUUGCUUGAUUGCUCAACACCUAGUUUUCCAGGAAGGAGCCUUUUAACUGAAGCAAUCAGCUUGUGCUGGUCUAGGGAAGGGGUCAUCCCAAGAGAUCAGUCAAAAGAUGCUUGGGUGUACUUUCUUUGGGAGUUUGGAGAAGAUUCCAACUAUGUUUUUCUGAACUAAAAGUUAAGAGAACAGAAUUAAUGAUUUGUAGAUUUAUUAAUGGCAUAAAAUUGAAUCACAUGAAAAUAUUUGAUAAGACAUUCCUUAGAACUUAUUAUAGUAUAUAUUGGAACUGCCCUGAUGUUAUAGGCACAUAUAGGAUGGCGAUUCAUUUAGGUGAAUAUUUGCAACAUCAUUCCUUUGGAUAUGAUGAUGAGUGGAUGUAUGAGGAUGAUGAGUAGAUCCAUCAUCUGUUGGCAGCAGAUGUGAUGGGCUUUGGCACUGGGAGUGAUAAGAAUACUGUCCAGGAUUUCUAUGGCUUGUGAGUCUUUGAAUCCAUUGUCUUUCAGGGCUUGCUGGGGAGAAUAGUAAACUUGCAUAGGUGAGGAUUAAGUGCUUGGCAUAGAUAUUUCCAUCCUUAGGUGCCCAACUCUCUGGUGAGGACAAGCAAAGACAUGGGACACUGAAGAGAGGGAUUAUGUAGCCACCACUGUGACUGACAAAACACGAGGAAAAAGAAAAUGUGUAGGGAGUUUCAAGACUGAGAAGCUGAGCUUGGAAACAUGAAUCUACCCACUGUCUUCUAACACAGACACAGUGCUCACAUUUUUAGCUUUUAGGCCAAUUGUAAUUGAGUGAAAGAGACGUAGUUAAAGGUAUAGUUGAUUAGAAUACAGCUUACAAGCAGCCAGCCUCAGUAUGGGUAGUGGAUAAACAGGGCUGAAUGUUCAUGUUUAGAAAGUAUCCAGUGCCUUACAAAAGGAUUUUCUGUAGACCAUUUUCC